AAAUAGUACUUUGCAGAGAGAGUUAACAGGGCGUGAAACCGUUAAUUGGCAAACGAAUCGGAGCCACGAAGUCGUUUCGUUGAUAAGUUGGGUCGAGUUCAGUUUAAUACAGUGUGUAUUGGGCGUAUUCUCGGUUCGACCAUCUUUGUAAGCGUACACUGCAACCAGUUAGACGAUUGGCUAUGGGCCCAGUUGUUACUUUGAUUAGUAGUAGCGCGGUAUCUUUCGGGGUAUUCGUGUUGCUGGAUUAGAGUAAGUGAACUAUAGCCAAAUACUGACUGGCACACUGAAAAUCGCCUCUGUGCGUUUUAUAAAAUGCAAUCUGUUGCAUUGGGGUCUACACAAUUGACCAUAGGGUCUAAGCUCAGCAUUUUUGAAUUUGGACUUUCUUGCUACCAGUGGGGUCAAACUCCUGGUGCUUGUUUAGUUCCCAUCUAAUCGGGUGUUGACUUGGCUUUAUGUUGUUUGGUUGUGAAACGAUUGGGCUUCAAUGUAAACGGGUUUGCUAUUAGAUUGGCAGUGAGUAGGUCGGCUUUCCGAACGACCCGUCUUGAAACACGGACCAAGGAGUCUAAUUAGGCAUCGAGUCGAUCGGUCUUGAAUAGGCCAGACUUGUUGGAUUUAUCCAACUGAAGGCGAAGAGACAUGUGAUCGUUGGAACAAUACCAGUUCUAACGCGCAACAUGUGCCUGUUCGUAUAGCAAUGUAGCAAUAAUGCUGGGCGGAGCAAAGAGAUGCUUGAUUGGUACCCGAAAGAUGGUGAUGCUUGGGCAAAUUGAAGCCAGAGGAAACUCUGGUGGAGGAUUGUAGCGAUUCUGACGUGCAAAUCGAUCGUCAGACCUGAGUAUAGGGGCGAAAGACUAAUCGAACCAUC
rnacentral:rRNA from 1 species